rnacentral:rRNA from 1 species
GUGCCAGCCGCCGCGGUAAUACGAAGGGGGCUAGCGUUGCUCGGAAUUACUGGGCGUAAAGGGCGCGUAGGCGGUUUGGUCAGUCAGGCGUGAAAUUCCCGGGCUCAACCUGGGGGCUGCGCUUGAUACGGCCAGACUAGAGGACGGAAGAGGCUCGCGGAAUUCCCAGUGUAGAGGUGAAAUUCGUAGAUAUUGGGAAGAACACCGGUGGCGAAGGCGGCGAGCUGGUCCGUUACUGACGCUGAGGCGCGACAGCGUGGGGAGCAAACAGGAUUAGAUACCCUGGUAGUCCACGCCGUAAACGAUGUGCGCUGGAUGUUGGGUGACCUAGUCACUCAGUGUCGUAGCCAACGCGGUAAGCGCACCGCCUGGGGAGUACGGCCGCAAGGUUGAAACUCAAAUGAAUUGACGG